rnacentral:rRNA from 1 species
AGCAGCCGCGGUAAUUCCAGCUCCAAUAGCGUAUAUUAAAGUUGCUGCAGUUAAAAAGCUCGUAGUUGAAUUUCGGGACCAAUAUGUCGGUCGUGCCUCGGUACGUACUGGCAUCGUUGGUUUCUCCCUUCUGACGAACCAUGAUGUCAUUCAUUUGGUGUCGUGGGGAAUCAGGACUGUUACUUUGAAAAAUUGAGUGUUUAAAGCAGGCUCACGCUUGAAUACAUUAGCAUGGAAUAAUGAAAUAGGACGUUUGAUUCUAUUUUGUUGGUUUCUAGGAUCGACGUAAUGAUUAAUAGGGAUAGUUGGGGCAUUAGUAUUCAAUUGUCAGAGGUGAAAUUCUUGGAUUUAUUGAAGACUAACUACUGCGAAAGCAUUUG